UCUUCUACAUUCUUUCUCUGCCUUCCUUCUCUCUUUCUCCAUUUUCUAAUUCUUUUUUCAUACAACUUCAUUGAAAAUAAAUGUUCUUUUACACCAUUUCAGACACAUUUUAUGAAAAUGUUAUUUUUUUUAAAUGCAAUAUUUAUCCUAUUCGUAUUUUGGACAUAUUUUUUGUGCUUUUCAUUAAUAUUAAUUUGAUAAUUUUUACAGAUCUGUACUAUAUUGAUGUGGAAUGAAAACCUCCAGAUCUGUUUCACGAUGUUUUAAUUUAUCUUCUUCAGAUCUGUAUUAUAAUGAGGUGCUUUGGAGAAGUAGGAAUAAUGUGGUUUGGCAGGGUACUCGGGAUGAUGCUAUGAGGAUUGGUUUACAGGCCUACCAUAAUUGGUUUCAAUAAAGUGCAUGGUACUACAAAUAAGGGGUGGUGCUUUAGGGAUCACUUGGGGAGAUUUGUUUCAGCUGGUGUGUCCUGGGAUGUGGGCUUUUAUCCGUUAUUGAAGCGGAAGCCAUCGCCUUGAAGGAAGCUAUCCAGAAUGCGAUCUCCCUUCAUCUUUCUCAUAUUAGUUUUGAAAGUGAUUGUCAACUUGUCAUUCAGUCUAUUCAGGCUUCAACUGUGUGUAGUUCUGAAUUUAGUUUUAUUAUUAAUGCCAUUAGGCAGUUAUUAGCUUUAUUUCCGAACUUUGAGGUAAAGUUCAUUAGGCGCCAAGCGAAUUCGGUUGCCCAUGCUUUAGCUAAGGCGGCCAAUUCUUGGGCUAGGCGUAGUUUCAUUAACAGUGUACCUCCUUGUAUUGAACCUUAUUUGUUGAAUGAUAUCAGUUAAG